rnacentral:rRNA from 1 species
GAUGAACGCUGGCGGCGUGCCUAAUACAUGCAAGUCGAGCGAACAGACGAGGAGCUUGCUCCUCUGACGUUAGCGGCGGACGGGUGAGUAACACGUGGAUAACCUACCUAUAAGACUGGGAUAACUUCGAGAAACCGGAGCUAAUACCGGAUAAUAUAUUGAACCGCAUGGUUCAAUAGUGAAAGACGGUUUUGCUGUCACUUAUAGAUGGAUCCGCGCCGCAUUAGCUAGUUGGUAAGGUAACGGCUUACCAAGGCAACGAUGCGUAGCCGACCUGAGAGGGUGAUCGGCCACACUGGAACUGAGACACGGUCCAGACUCCUACGGGAGGCAGCAGUAGGGAAUCUUCCGCAAUGGGCGAAAGCCUGACGGAGCAACGUCGCGUGAGUGAUGAAGGUCUUCGGAUCGUAAAACUCUGUUAUUAGGGAAGAACAAAUGUGUAAGUAACUAUGCACGUCUUGACGGUACCUAAUCAGAAAGCCACGGCUAACUACGUG